CGGCGCGUUUUAGCAUGCAAGUCGAACGGCAAGGUACCUUCGGGUACCCUAGAGUGGCGAACGGGUGAGUAACACGUAGGUGAUGUGCCCUAAAGUUGGGGAUAGCUCAUGGAAACAUGGGGUAAUACCGAAUAAUCUGGCAGUUUUUGUGCUGUCAGGAAAGAGGCUUUCGGGCCUCGCUUUUGGAUCAGCCUGCGGCUUAUUAGCUUGUUGGUGAGGUAAUGGCUCACCAAGGCAACGAUAAGUAGCCGGCCUGAGAGGGUGACCGGCCACAUUGGGACUGAGACACGGCCCAGACUCCUACGGGAGGCAGCAGCUAAGAAUCUUCCGCAAUGGGCGCAAGCCUGACGGAGCGACGCCGCGUGCAUGAUGAAGGCAGAGAUGUUGUAAAGUGCUUUUAUGGGUGAGGAAUAAUGGAGACAGGAAAUGGUCUCCAGAUGACGUGAACCCAUGAAUAAGCUCCGGCUAAUUACGUGCCAGCAGCCGCGGUAAUACGUAAGGAGCGAGCGUUGUUCGGAAUUAUUGGGCGUAAAGUGCGUGCAGGCUGUCUAUUAAGUCUGAUGUGAAAUCAUACGGCUCAACCGUAUUGGUGCGUUGGAAAUUGGUAGACUAGAAUUCGAGAGAGGAAAUUGGAAUUCCUGGUGUAGGGGUGAAAUCUGUUGAUAUCAGGAGGAAACAUCUGAGC
rnacentral:rRNA from 1 species